GAUGAACGCUGGCUACAGGCUUAACACAUGCAAGUCGAGGGGAAACGACGGGGAAGCUUGCUUCCCCGGGCGUCGACCGGCGCACGGGUGAGUAACGCGUAUCCAACCUGCCUCUGACUGAGGGAUAACCCGUCGAAAGUCGGCCUAAUACCUCAUGGCAUCGUCUGCGGGCAUCCAACGACGAUUAAAGAUUUCAUCGGUCAGAGAUGGGGAUGCGUCUGAUUAGCUUGUUGGCGGGGUAACGGCCCACCAAGGCGACGAUCAGUAGGGGUUCUGAGAGGAAGGUCCCCCACAUUGGAACUGAGACACGGUCCAAACUCCUACGGGAGGCAGCAGUGAGGAAUAUUGGUAAAGGGGCGAGAGCCUGAACCAGCCAAGUAGCGUGCAGGAUGACGGCCCUAUGGGUUGUAAACUGCUUUUAUGCAGGGAUAAAGUGAGGGACGUGUCCUUCAUUGCAGGUACCGCAUGAAUAAGGACCGGCUAAUUCCGUG
rnacentral:rRNA from 1 species